rnacentral:rRNA from 1 species
UACGAAGGGGGCUAGCGUUGUUCGGAAUUACUGGGCGUAAAGCGCGCGCAGGCGGUCUUCCAAGUCAGUGGUGAAAGCCCGGAGCUCAACUCCGGAACUGCCAUUGAAACUGUUGGACUUGAGUAUGAGAGAGGUGAGUGGAAUUCCCAGUGUAGAGGUGAAAUUCGUAGAUAUUGGGAAGAACACCGGUGGCGAAGGCGGCUCACUGGCUCAUUUCUGACGCUCAGGCGCGACAGCGUGGGGAUCAAACAGG